AUGGUAUUAAUCAGACUUGGCUUCUUUGUCUCCGCUUCAUCGGAGGCUGGACUCUCCUCGUUCUUGGUUUCUCCGUUUUCUGCAGGUAAGUCUUCUUUCGUUUCUUGGUUAGCCACUUCAGCCUGUUUUCCCUUUGCUCCCCUCUUCCCCUUUGUUUGCACUUUUUUGUCUGAAGAUUUAUCCUUUCCUGCCGCCUUUUUUGGCUUCGUUUCCACUUUUGUGGGAGCAGGUUUCUCCUCCUUGGCCGCGCCCUCGGUGACAUUCCUCUUGGGCCUCGUGCGGGCGCCGAGAGCCUCCGCGAGGCUGGGCUGCCUGGGCCGCUGACACUCCUCCCGCCGCCCGAGCUGCUGCGGCCGCCAAGUUUUGUUUUGUUUUUACUAUGCUUUUAUUGUACUGGUAUCCCAUGUGUGUUCCUGACACCUUCUCUCAUUGUCUUUCUCCUCACAACAGCUCACCCAGCUAGAGUAUCAUUCCCGUUUCACAUAUGAAAAAACACAAGUCUAGAAAGGGCUAGGCUUUAAGGUCCUUAGGGACAGAGUAGGGAGUCAAUCCUAACCCAGCAGGCUAGGAGAAGCACCAUUUCUUGCCCUAGAGGAACAGGCUUUCCACAGAAAGAGGCUGCUGGGCAGUUCUUCUCAGCCCUGUCCUGAGCUUUGCAUCUUCUCAGUGGGUGACACCAGAGAGACGAGGCCAUCCAGUCGGGAUGUGCAGUCUCUCUCUCAGGCCCAGAAGCUACCCCUCAGAUUCCAGCUGCAGCCCAGGGCCUGCUAGGUCCUCCCUCCAGUGCAGCAAGGGGAGAAAGAUGCUGGCAGGGAGGUUAUCUAUGGACUUACUCAGUUGGCCCUGUUGUCGCAAAGGCAGUGCGGUGACCAAAGCCAGGAAGCACCUGGCAGGUGCUCAUUGUCAGUCAAGGAGCCAGGACCAUUAGGUGGCCACUUUCAAUAGGGGCACUGGGGAGAGGAGCUUUUCUGGGAGGGGACAUGGACUAGCCCUGUGUGGCCAUUUGGGACUAGGGGGAGGCUUCCAGGCUAAGGGAACACCAAGGGCCUGGAAGAGGGGACAAGAGACUUCUUAUGCUCACUAGAGAAUGGAGCUCAGAUCUCUGGGCACGGCCCCAAAGUCUUUCACACUAUCUCCUGGCCUCUUCCUUGUUCUUUGUUGACACACACAUAUACACAUGUACAGACACACACACACACACACACACACACACACACACACACAAACUGCCCAGAAAAGCUGGGCCCUUUUGAUAACAUCCUGAACCAGCAUAGGCUGUGUGUAGGCUUGGGGGUUAAUGGAGCAUGUGCUAACCCUGAGAGUG
rnacentral:lncRNA from 12 species